UGAGGUCAGUGCAGUUAAAUCUUUAUUCAAGGAAACCCUAGCCCAAGCUUAAUGGGCUCAGCCGCUCUUUCUAGGAGGCCUUGGUCUGAUGAGGCAAAUGAAGCUGCCCAAGAAUAGUGCAAGUGGAUGCCAGUCUCAGCACAGGAUUAUCCUAGUUUAAUAGACAUUCACUUUCCUGAGAAAGUGUGGUAAUUGUAGUUCUGUGAGAGGGUUUGAGUCUUCAAGAGAAUGCUCAGCAGCCUCAGCAAACUACAGUUCGCAGGAUUUCAGGGGGUAGAAGGAGUUGUGGCAGUCAAACUGCUAUAAAAUUAUGUAAGCUUCUAUCGCAAAUAUUCCUUCCAGAGUGGAUGCUUACCCCUUCCUCCGGGUGGGUGGUUGUUGCGGAUCCCCAUGCUCGGUCACCAUCCUUGGACAGCUAGAACAGAAUGCUCAUGGCCAGGUGGCCAUUGAGGGAAUUCCCCCUGGCCGCAUGGAUAGCUGGCUCAAGUUCCCGCCAGCUGCUGCACCUCAAAUUGGCCAAUGUGUGGCCUGUUCUGGGGGGUGUGCCUCUCUGGCAGAAAGGGCAUUGGCUGCACGCACACCCAGGCAGUUGGUGAGGCAUAAAAGCUGGCUGCACCUUAAUAUGCCUUCCAGAGCUGCAGAAGAUGUCCAAGACAAGAGAGCAAGUCUCAUGGAAUUUAGGGACUUGUGCCUCACUGAAUGCACCAAAGAUUACAGUUCACAUGUGUCCCCUCUCUUCCAGCUCUAAUGGCCAGCAUGGACAUUUCUUUGACUGGAUCACACUCUUCACUCCACUAACACUUCGUGGAAGGUCCCAGGCUUGGUAGUUUAGGUGCCUGGAGGCAAAGGGCAGCUGGCCAGAGCUUUAGAUGUGUCAGCAGCUGCAGAAGAAUAAUCUCUGGAGGGACAGUGCUGCCAGGAAGCAUCCCUAGGUGCAACCUUCCCAAAACUCACAUGCCUUUGCCUGUGUACAUGUGUAUAAAAGUAUUUUUGGAACUGGCUGUACACUCUUAUUUGUAGUGUGAACAGUGAUGGCUUAGGCUUCCAUCGCAGUUCAUUCAUUUUCAUAUGAAAGCAGGAUGUUCCUUUGGUACGUUGCAAAACUGGAUUGAAGGGACUUGCUGGGUGGUGGGGGACUCUUUCAAAUGAUCAAAUGUUCCUGUGCAAAUAUACUGUUAUGGGAUUGUGGCUGGUCAGGUGUCUUCUCAUAAAUGUAAACAAUAAGAGUGGUAAUAUUCGGGGUCGACACAUUCAAAAUGCACUUAACUAAAUCAUGACUAUAAAGUCCAUUGCUUUCAGUGAGUCUGCUCAAAGUGUGACUCAGUCAGCUGUCUCUCUGAACGAAUAUGGGGUUGCCCCUGUAGAUGGUCCUUUGGACAUCCUCGCUUACUCCCAAAUGGGCUAAGUCCACCUUGCUAUACCUGGGAGCCCUCCUGCUCAUUCUGCUGAAAGUGGCCCUGGACCUCUUCCCUAAAGUCAUGCUCUGGUGAUACCUCCAGAUCCAUCAUUUGAUUAAGAGAUAUGAUUUUUAAAAUUUUAAAAAGCCUAGUACAUACUUGCCAAAUAUCAAUUUUUAAGGUUCGACUUAAAGCGCUUCUUUGCUCUUGAAUCUGAGUGAAACUUAAUGUAACUUGCAUGUCAGAGUGCAGAACAGAUUCCCAAGGCAAGUGGUGGAACCCUGUUGCUUGAGACUCUUAAAAGUGGAUUAGACAGCAGACUCAGAAUUGCCCUGUAGGGAACAAUCUCGCAUUGACAGUGUGAUGGAAUAGAUGACCUCAUAGUACAGCUGUGUGUGUGAGAGAAAAAUGUCUAAUAUACGAGUUUUUCUUCUCCCAUGAAGCUAUGCAGUGAUAAACCGCCAAAGAAAUAAACUUAGACAUAUAGUGUGAUCUUGGAUGGUAAAGCUUGCCUUGUAAAGUUCCACUGCAGACCUGUUCUAUUUUCAGUCUUGCAUAUUUCCAGUUACAUUCAUUGCAUUGUAGAUAUAAUAAACAGAGAUAACCUGUUCUUCAUAUGCUCCAGAAGAACACAAAGCAUCUUCAUGCUUCUGGUUACUAUAUUUCAGAUUUUACAAGCCUAUGGGAUAAGAUUUCUUCUCUGAUCUUUGCAGUCCUGAGGUUAAUCAUACAAUAAAUCAGUGUUUCCUAGACUUUUUGGUACAUGGGACACAGUCCUCCUCUGGAUUGCAACUGGAGCUUCACUCUUGCACUUAUUCCCAAUGGUCUUCUGAUUUUUCUGCUUAGGUUCUUUCCUGGGUUGAGUUCAAACAGACUUUUGUUUAGGGCCUGCUUUUGUGCAGGAGUGCAGACAGUAGGAGAUGGUACCAGCGGUGACUGGUGCCUGUUGUGACUGCUGGGGUGGAAAGCAGUGAGACCAGACGUGGGUGGAGCCACCCUCAAUGACAGAUGGAACCAUUCCCUGAUUGGCUGAAAAUAAGAAAGCCAACUGACUUUGGUGAACCUUUACAAACCAGCCUCCACUGGCUACCAGUAUGGCAGAGCCAUGGAGCUGCCGUCCUGACUCCAGCUUACCUGGAGAGGACUGCAGGGAGGUUGGGCUGCACAGGCCCACCACACACAUCCCCAACCUCACAACCGCCCUGCCCCACACCAGUCCAGGUAAGUUGCAGUGAUGUUGGUGUUGGAAAGGCAGUUCCAUGGCACUACCUCACCCCACUGGACUGCUCCUGGCUACAAGAAAGGUGCAGUCCAUUUGUGUGUGUGUGUGGACAAGCUGAGUUUGAUUCCCUGGAGAGCAAUGUGGUGCAGGGGUAGGAGUGCCACACUAGGACUAAUUUUUUUGAUAAUUAUCAUAUUUUACUCUUUUUUGCAAACCGCUUAAAGGCUUUAUUAAAACCCAUCAGUACAUGAAUGUUGUGAAAAAUAUAAGACGGUCCAGAUCAGGGAUUCCAC
rnacentral:lncRNA from 1 species